rnacentral:rRNA from 1 species
UACGUAGGGUGCGAGCGUUGUCCGGAAUUAUUGGGCGUAAAGGGCUCGUAGGCGGUCUGUCGCGUCGGGAGUGAAAACUCAGGGCUUAACCCUGAGCCUGCUUCCGAUACGGGCAGACUAGAGGUAUGCAGGGGAGAACGGAAUUCCUGGUGUAGCGGUGAAAUGCGCAGAUAUCGGGAGGAACACCGGUGGCGAAGGCAGGUCUCUGGGCCAUAACUGACGCUGAGAAGCGAAAGCAUGGGGAGCGAACAGG